rnacentral:rRNA from 1 species
ACGACCAUGCCAGGUUUACUACACAGGUUUCCGUUAGAUCACUGCAGUUAAGCAACAUUGGGCAUGGUUAGUAAUGGGAUUGGUGAUUGCUUGGGAACAUUGUGCUGUUGCCAG